GGUAACUGGGGGACAGAGGCGGUGGUAAUAGGUAGGCAGGGAGAGUUGUUCGGAAUUACUGGGCGUAAGGAGUGGUGAGGCGGUGCUCGAAGUUCGGUGUGAAAUCUCCCGGCUUAACUGGGAGGGUGCGCCGGAAACUGGAAUGCUCGAGCGUGGGAGAGGAAAGCGGAAUUCCUGGUGUAGCGGUGAAAUGCGUAGAUAUCAGGAGGAACACCUGCGGUGUAGACGGCUUUCUGGACCAUUGCUGACGCUGAGACACGAAAGCGUGGGUAGCAAACAGGAUUAGAUACCCGGGUAGUC
rnacentral:rRNA from 1 species